GAAUAUUGGACAAUGGGGGGAACCCUGAUCCAGCCAUGCCGCGUGUGUGAAGAAGGCCUUUUGGUUGUAAAUCACUUUAAGCGAGGAGGAGGAGCCCUUGGUUAAUACCCAUGAUGCUUUGACGUUACUUGCCGAAUAAGCAUCGCCGAACUCCGUCCCAGCCGCCGCGGUAAUACAGAGGGUGCAAGCGUUAAUCGGAUCUACUGGGCGUAAAGCGCGCGUAGGUGGCCAAUUAAGUCAAAUGUGAAAUCCCCGAGCUUAACUUGGGAAUUGCAUUCGAUACUGGUUGGCUAGAGUAUGGGAGAGGAUGGUAGAAUUCCAGGUGUAGCGGUGAAAUGCGUAGAGAUCUGGAGGAAUACCGAUGGCGAAGGCAGCCAUCUGGCCUAAUACUGACACUGAGGUGCGAAAGCAUGGGGAGCAAACA
rnacentral:rRNA from 1 species